rnacentral:rRNA from 1 species
AACGAACGCUGGCGGCAUGCCUAACACAUGCAAGUCGAACGAGACCUUCGGGUCUAGUGGCGCACGGGUGCGUAACGCGUGGGAACCUGCCCUUAUGUUCGGAAUAACUCCCCGAAAGGGGUGCUAAUACCGGAUAAUGUCUUCGGACCAAAGAUUUAUCGCCUUUGGAUGGGCCCGCGUUGGAUUAGCUAGUUGGUAGGGUAAAAGCCUACCAAGGCGACGAUCCAUAGCUGGUCUGAGAGGGUGAUCAGCCACACUGGGACUGAGACACGGCCCAGACUCCUACGGGAGGCAGCAGUGGGGAAUAUUGGACAAUGGGCGAAAGUCUGAUCCAGCAAUGCCGCGUGAGUGAUGAAGGCCUUAGGGUUGUAAAGCUCUUUUACCCGGGAUGAUAAUGACCGUACCGGGAGAAUAAGCUCCGGCUAACUCCGUG